rnacentral:rRNA from 1 species
AAUGAACGUUGGCGGCGUGGAUUAGGCAUGCGAGUCGCACGAGAAUCGUAGCAAUACGAGGAAAGCGGCGAAAGGGAGAGGAAUACGUAGAAAUCUGCCCUCGGGACUGGGAUAGCGACGGGAAACUGCCGGUAAUACCAGAUAACGUCUUCGGACCAAAGGUGUGAUUCCGCCUGAGGAUGAGUCUACGACCUAUUAGCUUGUUGGCGGGGUAAUGGCCCACCAAGGCGACGAUGGGUAGCAGGUGUGAGAGCACGACCUGCCUCAUUGGGACUGAGACACUGCCCAGACACCUACGGGUGGCUGCAGUCGAGAAUCUUCGGCAAUGGACGAAAGUCUGACCGAGCGACGCCGCGUGCGGGAUGAAGGCCUUCGGGUUGUAAACCGCUGUCGUAGGGAACCAAAUUCACGGGGGUUCUCCCCUGUGAUUGAGAGAACCUAGGAGGAAGGAGAGGCUAAGCUCGUGCCAGCCGCCGCGGUAAGAC